rnacentral:rRNA from 1 species
AACGUAGGAGACAAACGUUAUCCGGAGUUACUGGGCGUAAAGGGCGUGUAGGUGGUAAUGUAAGUCUGGCGUGAAAUUUUUCGGCUUAACCGGGAAAGGUCGUCGGAUACUGCAUCACUAGAGGACGGUAGAGGCGUGUGGAAUUCCGGGUGUAGUGGUGAAAUGCGUGAGAUAUCGGGAGGAACACCAGUGGCGAAAGACGGCGGCUCUGGCCUAAACGGCGG